AGCAGCCGCGGUAAUUCCAGCUCCAAUAGCGUAUAUUAAAGUUGUUGCAGUUAAAAAGCUCGUAGUUGAAUUUCAGGCCUGGCUGGACGGUCCGCCCUUCGGGUGAGUACUGUCUGUGGUCGGGUCCUACCUUCUGGCGAAGCGUCAUGGCCUUAACCGGCCGUGGCGGGGAACCAGGACUUUUACUGUGAAAAAAUUAGAGUGUUCAAAGCAGGCAAUCGCUUGGAUACAUUAGCAUGGAAUAAUGGAAUAGGACAAUGGUUCUAUUUGUUGGUUUCUAGGACCGUUGUAAUGAUUAAUAGGGAUAGUUGGGGGCAUUAGUAUUCAAUUGUCAGAGGUGAAAUUCUUGGAUUUAUUGAAGACUAACUACUGCGAAAGCAUUUGCCAAGGAUGUUUUCAUUAAUCAAGAACGAAAGUUAGGGGAUCGAAGACGAUCAGAUACCGUCGUAGUCCUAACCAUAAACUAUGCCGACUAGGAAUCGGGCGAUGCUGAAAAAAUGACGC
rnacentral:rRNA from 1 species